UACAAUUUUCUUCCUCCCAACAUCGGAAGGAUCGCAGGUUGUCAUAAAAAUUCCGAGGUGUAAUGCACAUGUAUAUAUAUGUACAUUUAUUAAAGAACUGCAGCCAAGAGGAGUGAACGAAAGCCAAAUUUGAACCAGAGUUCGAUUAAUGGUAAUACCGACGUGGUAAUUAAAUCUUAUUCUCCAUUUCUUUUGAAAUCCUUGGUGUGUCAUUUGCUUCGCUAUACUGUGAGCUUUAAAGUCCUAAACCUUAAACUUGUUUGGUUGAUGAGAAAAGGAAAAAAAAGAAAGAGAGUGCGAAAUAUAUUCAAAUCCAUUGUAGGGAAUCUAUUGAUUCCUAGGUUUUUGUUGAGUUUCCUUUUUUUCUUAAUAGUCAAGUUCAGGAGUUAUGGAAGUUGGAAUAUUUAGUCUUAGACUUGCCAUUUGUUUGGUUGAUGAGAAAAGUAAAAUCAAAGCAAAGCGGGAAAAAAAUGUUUGGGUGUUUUUUUCUUAAUUAUUGAAUUCAGGAGUUCUGGACGAUAGAAAGUUUCUUGUCUUCUGUUAGUAAAGUUUGUUAAGUUGGUGGUUUUAUGUUUAUCAUAAAAUCCACCAGAAGGGUCUAUCCUCUUUAUCAAUCUUUCUAGCUUCAGUUUUUAACAGCUAUAUUUUGGCGUAAUCUCUGGAAUGCUGAAGCUGAUUAAAGCACGUAGGAAACUUUUUCACUCUGGAAGCUCCUAAAUUAGUGUUUCAAAUAUGGUAGUUUCUUGUAGCCGAAACGGGAAAGUGUUUCAUUUGAUUACUUGUUUUUUAUAUAAGGUUGUCUUUCCUUCAGGAUCUUGAAUACUUAGCCGUCAGGUUUCGAAAGAAAAUGAAAUUCUUAUCGUCUUUGGUUUCAGGUCCUAAUGAUCAUAAAAGGAUUAUUUAGGAGAUACGAAAGAUGGAACCCUGUGCACCCAACAUAUGGGGCCUUUUGGGGCAUGGGAAUAGGGGUUGGAUGUGGUGUUGGAUGGGGACCUGGAUUUGGUCCUGAGGUUAUUGGUUAUGUUGGAGCAGGCUGCGGGGUUGGAUUUAUCGUGGGUAUUACACUAGCCGGUUUUGGCAUUGGUCUUCCUGCAAAUUCUCCUCUUGUUGCUCCUCAAAAUGGUACACUUCUCUUGCUUUGUAAUUUGACCUCUUUAGCUUAUAAAAUUCAUGUCAGCAUUGUGCUUUGUCACACCUCAACUAUUCCUGAUGUACCUCAUAGGCAUAAACUUUUUUGUAUAGGCUUGAUUAAUGCAAAUAUAUAUGUGUGCAAUCCUAUAAUUUAACAUUGUUGUCUUCACUGCUUAUAUAAGUUUUACUUAUAUUCCUUUUCCAGCAAUUGCGGCAACAACGAGUGGUGCACUAGAGUGGUUUGCUCAAUCAAGUACUGCUCUUUUCUCAAAUGAGAUGGCUGGAGAUGGCUGGAAAAUUACAAUGGCUCAUGU
rnacentral:lncRNA from 1 species